AGCCUUAAGACUAAUUUAAGGUAAAACCUGCCCAGUGCAUAUAUUUUGUAAAUGGCCGCAGUACUCUGACUGUGCUAAGGUAGCAUAAUCAGUUGGCUCUUAAAUGGAGUCGGGAAUGAAUGGAUUUAUGGGGUUAAGCUGUCUCUUUAAUAUUUUAUUGAAUUUACUUAGUUGGUGAAAAUGCCUAUUUUAUGAAAAAAGACGAGAAGACCCUAGGAGUUUUAACUAUACUACUUUUUUAGUACACCGUUUUUGUUGGGGCGACAAAAGAAGAACUUAUUAACUUCUUUUACACAUAUAGGCCGACUAAGUAUGAGAAUUUAAACUACCCUAGGGAUAACAGCGUAAUUCUUUUUGAGUUUGCGACCUCGAUGUUGGACUAGGAAUUUGAUGGGCUAGCCGCCUAUUAAAUCUGUUCUGUUCGAACUUAAUAUUCC
rnacentral:rRNA from 1 species